AUGAUGAUGUCACUGACUCUACUGCUGGGCACCCUGGGGCUCCUUGUUCAGGGUUCAUCAGGACAAAUCAUCCUGACUCAGUCUCCUGGAUCUCACUCUGUUGCUCCAGGACAGACUGUCUCCAUCAGAUGUAAAACCCGUUCAGAUGUUUAUAACUACCUCCACUGGUACCUUCAGAAAUCUGAAGAAGCUCCUAAACUCCUGAUUUAUACAGCUACAACCCGUCAGUCUGGAGUUUCAGAUCGUUUCAGUGGAAGUAUGAUUACAGCAUACACUGACUUCACUCUGACCAUCAGUCGAGUUCAGGCUGAAGAUUCAGGAGUUUACUACUGUCAGCAUAGUAACGGCUUCCCGUUCACACAGUGA